GGGAGGUAGUGACAAUAAAUAACAAUACGGGGUUCUUAAGGAUCUCGUAAUUGGAAUGAGUACAAUUUAAAUCUCUUAACGAGGAACAAUUGGAGGGCAAGUCUGGUGCCAGCAGCCGCGGUAAUUCCAGCUCCAAUAGCGUAUAUUAAAGUUGUUGCAGUUAAAAAGCUCGUAGUUGAAUUUCGGGAUCAAUUUGUUGGUCGUGCCUCGGUACGUACUGGCAUUAUUGGUUUCUACCUUCUGAAGAACCUUGAUGUCAUUAAUUUGGUGUCUUGGGGAAUCAGGACUGUUACUUUGAAAAAAUUAGAGUGUUUAAAGCAGGCAUACGCUUGAAUACAUUAGCAUGGAAUAAUGAAAUAGGACGUUUGAUUCUAUUUUGUUGGUUUCUAGGAUCGACGUAAUGAUUAAUAGGGAUAGUUGGGGGCAUUAGUAUUCAAUUGUCAGAGGUGAAAUUCUUGGAUUUAUUGAAGACUAACUACUGCGAAAGCAUUUGCCAAGGAUGUUUUCAUUAAUCAAGAACGAAAGUUAGGGGAUCGAAGACGAUCAGAUACCGUCGUAGUCUUAACCAUAAACUAUGCCGACUAGGGAUCGGAUGAUGUUAUUUUUAAUGACUCAUUCGGCGCCUUACGGGAAACCAAAGUGUUUGGGUUC
rnacentral:rRNA from 1 species